UUAAUUGAAGCCAAAAAAGAGGCUUAUUACUGUUAAUGAUAGAACUGAAUUAAUUAUUCCAAUUAAA
rnacentral:tRNA from 1 species